rfam:Oryza sativa Japonica Group DNA, chromosome 11, cultivar: Nipponbare, complete sequence.
GCCCGUCACAGGUAUCUAGUCACCUGUGACGGGCCGAGAAUGGAAUCCGUCAAAGGAACACACCUUUGUCAGAUUCUACUUCCUGCCCAUCACAGGUGACUAGAUACCUGUGACGGGC